rnacentral:tRNA from 1 species
AACACGGUGGUCUAGCGGUUAGAACACUAGCCUUGUAAGCCUGGGGUCCGGGUUCAAUUCCCGGUGGUGCUC